GAAAUGCGAUAAGUAGUGUGAAUUGCAGAAUUCAGUGAAUCAUCGAAUCUUUGAACGCACAUUGCGCCCCUUGGUAUUCCAUGGGGCAUGCCUGUUCGAGCGUCAUCUGUACCCUCAAGUUCUGCUUGGUGUUGGGUGUUUGUCCCCGUCUCCGCGCGUGGACUCGCCCCAAAGUGAUUGGCAGCCGGCGUACUGGUCCCGGAGCGCAGCACAUGUCGCGCAAACGAGUGCCUUGGUACGGCGGCGUCCAUAAGCCCCUCUCUCACGCUCUUGACCUCGGAUCAGGUAGGGAUACCCGCUGAACUUAAGC
rnacentral:misc_RNA from 1 species